CGUGUGAAUGCUUCCGUGAUUUAGAAUCAGCUGCAAAGUGACACAAACGCUGCAUUUCCACUGCAUGGUACAGCUCUACUCAACUCGAGCUCUGAUUUGGUCUUCCAUUAGCAAAAGUUGUGGGUUGUGGAAGCAAGCUUUAAACCUCUU